UACAGAGGUCUCAAGCGUUGUUCGGAUUCAUUGGGCGUAAAGGGCGCGUAGGCGGACUGCCAAGUCCGGGGUGAAAUCUUUCGGCUUAACCGGAAAAGGGCCUUGGAAACUGGCGGUCUCGAGGGAGGUAGGGGCCUGUGGAACUUCGGGUGGAGCGGUGAAAUGCGUUGAUAUCCGAAGGAACGCCGGUGGCGAAAGCGACGGGCUGGAUCUCUUCUGACGCUGAGGCGCGAAAGCCAGGGGAGCAAACGGG
rnacentral:rRNA from 1 species